CUAACAAUACAGAAGCUCUAAAGCUCCUGUCAGUCUAAUGAACCUCAGUGUGUCAGUUCUUUGUGUCAGAGGGUUUGACGUCUUCAUAUAGAUGCUUCAGUGACACUUAAAAUUGUUGGGUUUUGAGGGAGGAGAUUGUUUGUGAGACACAGAAAGUAGUGGAGGAAAACACCAUUCUGCAUUUUGGGAGCAUUUUGAAUUGAAGUGAGCUACGGUUUGAUUUCUGAUGUUUAGAUUUUAUUUUCCAUACAUCAAUAACACCUCAUCCAUGUCGAAGCAUCUUCAAGCAAAGCAUGAUGAAAAUCAUCCACAGCAGGCCAACAGCACCGAGCCUGUCAAUGCUGGAUAUCUUGACUGCAAGUAUUCUUAAAUAAUAAUAAAUUAUCUGAUUAUUUUAUGAUCCAGAAAGAAGUAAUCAUGGGUUUCAAUGAUUAAGCUUUAAUGUUUAUAUAAGUGGUCUGCCUUAUAAUAUCCAGAAAACAAAGAUUGGAUGAGGCCUUGGCGGACUUGACAGUCAAGGAUGGCCGAGCAUUUUCAGUGGUAGAGGAUGAACGCUUUCACAAGUUUGUCAAAUCCUUGACUCGAGCACAGUCCCAAGAUACGAGAAAACCAGAGAGAUGGCCAUUGCUGAGGUCAGGCAGACUCUGCAGUUAGUCUUACCGCUGGUAUGUGGACAAUUUUUAACAUGGAUGCCUGCAGUGAUAGGCCAUUUUAUAUCUGAGAAUCUGAGGCCGAUCACUUUCCAUUUAGGGGUACAAAAGUUUCCCUUGACCCACACAGCAGAUCACUUGGCUGUUGCUAUCGCUGACAGUUACUGGCAUAGAAUAAAUCAAUAAGGUGUCACACACACUUCCUGAUUUGCUCAUGUUUUGAAUUUAGUAGAUGAAAAAUGAUCAGUACAGUACAAACCCCUGAGCUGGAAAACAUCCACGUCGAUCAAGCCUGCAAAAUUGUGGCUUACAUUAAGUCGAGCACCUCUGCAGAGGAGAAGCUGUGUGCCAUGAAGACAAGUCUGAGGAUGACGGUACUAAAACCAAUCCCAGAGGUAGACACAAUGUGGAACAGCACCAGAGUUAAGAGAACCUCUGGGUGCAGCUCUGACCUCUCUCAGCUCAGACAUAUGACCUUUCAGUGCUGAGGAGGCCUCCCAGCAGAGUCUUGUUGUGUUGGGUCCCUUCCAUCAAGACACUGUGGAGCUGUCAAAGGAGAAAAGUGUCAGGAUCCAAUUCCAAUUCCCUUGAUAAAAAUGUUAAAGCACGUUAUUGCUGGACAGUGCUCAAAUGCCUCAUGGCAUUGGUGCAAAAUUGGCCAACAAUUUGAAAAAAAUAAUCUGUCCGACAAAUCUAAACUAUACUGGAGAAAGUAAGUACCCUGUCUAUGCCCACCUUGCUGAACCCAAGAAUCAAAGAAGUGGUGUUUCGAUCCAAGGAAAUAAGCAAGCUGCAGUCAAGAGGCUGAAGAGAGAAUGGACAACGGGGGCCUCAGCUCAGCCUCAGGACUACAACCUCUAGGCCUUGCUGGACAGUCAUGUAGAAGCACAAAGUCAAGUGAACAAUGCCACUGUGGAAUUUUGGAGGUAUUUGAGAGAGCCACCCUGGGCAGGUGCCUGAGGACCCUCUGCAGUACUAAAUGACAAGAAACACUCCUUAUCACCACCUGUUUAAGUUGGCUUCAAGACGUCUCUGCCACUCGCAUCAUUGGUGCCAUGUGUAAUAAUCUUUUUUUACAAGGCUGGCUAAAUUCUCAGCCAGAAAAGGAGCUGACUUAAACCCAGCUCCAAGGAAAAUUAUAUUUCCAAAAACAAAUCUGUAAAAUAAAUCAAAAGUUUUAGAAAACA